rnacentral:rRNA from 1 species
GAGUAAUGUCUGGGAAACUGCCUGAUGGAGGGGGAUAACUACUGGAAACGGUGGCUAAUACCGCAUAAUGUCGCAAGACCAAAGAGGGGGACCUUCGGGCCUCUUGCCAUCAGAUGUGCCCAGAUGGGAUUAGCUUGUUGGUGAGGUAACGGCUCACCAAGGCGACGAUCCCUAGCUGGUCUGAGAGGAUGACCAGCCACACUGGAACUGAGACACGGUCCAGACUCCUACGGGAGGCAGCAGUGGGGAAUAUUGCACAAUGGGCGCAAGCCUGAUGCAGCCAUGCCGCGUGUAUGAAGAAGGCCUUCGGGUUGUAAAGUACUUUCAGCGGGGAGGAAGGUGUUGCGGUUAAUAACCGCAGCAAUUGACGUUACCCGCAGAAGAAGCACCGGCUAACUCCGUGCCAGCAGCCGCGGUAAUACGGAGGGUGCAAGCGUUAAUCGGAAUUACUGGGCGUAAAGCGCACGCAGGCGGUCUGUCAAGUCGGAUGUGAAAUCCCCGGGCUCAACCUGGGAACUGCAUUCGAAACUGGCAGGCUUGAGUCUUGUAGAGGGGGGUAGAAUUCCAGGUGUAGCGGUGAAAUGCGUAGAGAUCUGGAGGAAUACCGGUGGCGAAGGCGGCCCCCUGGACAAAGACUGACGCUCAGGUGCGAAAGCGUGGGGAGCAAACAGGAUUAGAUACCCUGGUAGUCCACGCCGUAAACGAUGUCUACUUGGAGGUUGUGCCCUUGAGGCGUGGCUUCCGGAGCUAACGCGUUAAGUAGACCGCCUGGGGAGUACGGCCGCAAGGUUAAAACUCAAAUGAAUUGACGGGGGCCCGCACAAGCGGUGGAGCAUGUGGUUUAAUUCGAUGCAACGCGAAGAACCUUACCUGGUCUUGACAUCCACAGAACUUUCCAGAGAUGGAUUGGUGCCUUCGGGAACUGUGAGACAGGUGCUGCAUGGCUGUCGUCAGCUCGUGUUGUGAAAUGUUGGGUUAAGUCCCGCAACGAGCGCAACCCUUAUCCUUUGUUGCCAGCGGUCCGGCCGGGAACUCAAAGGAGACUGCCAGUGAUAAACUGGAGGAAGGUGGGGAUGACGUCAAGUCAUCAUGGCCCUUACGACCAGGGCUACACACGUGCUACAAUGGCGCAUACAAAGAGAAGCGACCUCGCGAGAGCAAGCGGACCUCAUAAAGUGCGUCGUAGUCCGGAUUGGAGUCUGCAACUCGACUCCAUGAAGUCGGAAUCGCUAGUAAUCGUGGAUCAGAAUGCCACGGUGAAUACGUUCCCGGGCCUUGUACACACCGCCCGUCACACCAUGGGAGUGGGUUGCAAAAGAAGUAGGUAGCUUAACCUUCGGGAGGGCGCUUACCACUUUGUGAUUCAUGACUGGGGUGAAGUCGUAACAAGGUAACCGUAGGGGAACCUGC